ACAUGAGAAGGGAGGUGGUUCGGAGAAUGUAUGACUACCGGACACGUGAGGUGACUGCGGGCUAGCGGCCCCUGUCCCCGCACUCUUGUGCGGUGGCCGGAAGCGUGUGGAAGAGCAGGCCCGGGCGACCGGACCGGUUCACGUCGCCGUCGGCCCAAUCCCAGCAGUACACCCGACCCGCAAGCCGCCGGUAUGUCCGGCCGGCUCUCCCGCAAGGGAGACCAGGGCUUGCGGGUCGACUGCG
rfam:Streptomyces sp. SPB74 genomic scaffold supercont3.1, whole genome shotgun sequence.